rnacentral:rRNA from 1 species
AGCGAACGCUGGCGGCAGGCCUAACACAUGCAAGUCAAACGGAUCCUUCGGGAUUAGUGGCGGACGGGUGAGUAACACGUGGGAACGUGCCCUUUGGUUCGGAACAACUCAGGGAAACUUGAGCUAAUACCGGAUGUGCCCUUCGGGGGAAAGAUUUAUCGCCAUUGGAGCGGCCCGCGUCUGAUUAGCUAGUUGGUGAGGUAAAGGCUCACCAAGGCUACGAUCAGUAGCUGGUCUGAGAGGAUGAUCAGCCACAUUGGGACUGAGACACGGCACAAACUCCUACGGGAGGCAGCAGUGGGGAAUCUUGCGCAAUGGGCGAAAGCCUGACGCAGCCAUGCCGCGUGAAUGAUGAAGGUCUUAGGAUUGUAAAAUUCUUUCACCGGGGACGAUAAUGACGGUACCCGGAGAAGAAGCCCCGGCUAACUUCGUGCCAGCCGCCGCAGUAACAC